CCACGGGUGGCUGCAGUGGGGAAUAUUGGACAAUGGGCGAAAGCCUGAUCCAGCCAUGCCGCGUGUGUGAAGAAGGCCUUCGGGUUGUAAAGCACUUUCAGUGGGGAAGAAAGCCUUGGGGCUAAUACCCUCGAGGAAGGACAUCACCCACAGAAGAAGCACCGGCUAACUCCGUGCCAGCAGCCGCGGUAAUACGGAGGGUGCGAGCGUUAAUCGGAAUUACUGGGCGUAAAGCGCGCGUAGGCGGUCUGAUAAGCCGGUUGUGAAAGCCCCGGGCUCAACCUGGGAACGGCAUCCGGAACUGUCAGGCUAGAGUGCAGGAGAGGAAGGUAGAAUUCCCGGUGUAGCGGUGAAAUGCGUAGAGAUCGGGAGGAAUACCAGUGGCGAAGGCGGCCUUCUGGACUGACACUGACGCUGAGGUGCGAAAGCGUGGGUAGCAAACAGGAUUAGAUACCCGAGUAGUC
rnacentral:rRNA from 1 species